rnacentral:rRNA from 1 species
GACGAACGCUGGCGGCGUGCCUAAUACAUGCAAGUCGAACGAACUCUGGUAUUGAUUGGUGCUUGCAUCAUGAUUUACAUUUGGGUGAGUGGCGAACUGGUGAGUAACACGUGGGAAACCUGCCCAGAAGCGGGGGAUAACACCUGGAAACAGAUGCUAAUACCGCAUAACAACUUGGACCGCAUGGUCCGAGUUUGAAAGAUGGCUUCGGCUAUCACUUUUGGAUGGUCCCGCGGCGUAUUAGCUAGAUGGUGGGGUAACGGCUCACCAUGGCAAUGAUACGUAGCCGACCUGAGAGGGUAAUCGGCCACAUUGGGACUGAGACACGGCCCAAACUCCUACGGGAGGCAGCAGUAGGGAAUCUUCCACAAUGGACGAAAGUCUGAUGGAGCAACGCCGCGUGAGUGAAGAAGGGUUUCGGCUCGUAAAACUCUGUUGUUAAAGAAGAACAUACCUGAGAGUAACUGUUCAGGUAUUGACGGUAUUUAACCAGAAAGCCACGGCUAACUACGUGCCAGCAGCCGCGGUAAUACGUAGGUGGCAAGCGUUGUCCGGAUUUAUUGGGCGUAAAGCGAGCGCAGGCGGUUUUCUAAGUCUGAUGUGAAAGCCUUCGGCUCAACCGAAGAAGUGCAUCGGAAACUGGGAAACUUGAGUGCAGAAGAGGACAGUGGAACUCCAUGUGUAGCGGUGAAAUGCGUAGAUAUAUGGAAGAACACCAGUGGCGAAGGCGGCUGUCUGGUCUGUAACUGACGCUGAGGCUCGAAGGUAUGGGUAGCAAACAGGAUUAGAUACCCUGGUAGUCCAUACCGUAAACGAUGAAUGCUAGGUGUUGGAGGGUUUCCGCCCUUCAGUGCUGCAGCUAACGCAUUAAGCAUUCCGCCUGGGGAGUACGGCCGCAAGGCUGAAACUCAAAGGAAUUGACGGGGGCCCGCACAAGCGGUGGAGCAUGUGGUUUAAUUCGAAGCUACGCGAAGAACCUUACCAGGUCUUGACAUACUAUGCAAAUCUAAGAGAUUAGACGUUCCCUUCGGGGACAUGGAUACAGGUGGUGCAUGGUUGUCGACAGCUCGUGUCGUGAGAUGUUGGGUUAAGUCCCGCAACGAGCGCAACCCUUAUUAUCAGUUGCCAGCAUUAAGUUGGGCACUCUGGUGAGACUGCCGGUGACAAACCGGAGGAAGGUGGGGAUGACGUCAAAUCAUCAUGCCCCUUAUGACCUGGGCUACACACGUGCUACAAUGGAUGGUACAACGAGUUGCGAACUCGCGAGAGUAAGCUAAUCUCUUAAAGCCAUUCUCAGUUCGGAUUGUAGGCUGCAACUCGCCUACAUGAAGUCGGAAUCGCUAGUAAUCGCGGAUCAGCAUGCCGCGGUGAAUACGUUCCCGGGCCUUGUACACACCGCCCGUCACACCAUGAGAGUUUGUAACACCCAAAGUCGGUGGGGUAACCUUUUAGGAACCAGCCGCCUAAGGUGGGACAGAUGAUUAGGGUG